CUACGGGUCGCUCCAGUGGGGAAUAUUGGACAAUGGGGGAAACCCUGAUCCAGCAAUGCCGCGUGUGUGAAGAAGGCCUGCGGGUUGUAAAGCACUUUCGGUUGGGAGGACUGCUUCUAGCACUAAUAUUGUUGGAAGUUGACGUUACCUUCAGAAGAAGCACCGGCUAACUCCGUGCCAGCAGCCGCGGUAAUACGGAGGGUGCAAGCGUUAAUCGGAAUUACUGGGCGUAAAGCGCGCGUAGGCGGCUAGAUCAGUCGGGUGUGAAAGCCCCGGGCUUAACCUGGGAACUGCAUCCGCAACUGUCUAGCUUGAGUACAGGAGAGGAGAGUGGAAUUCCACAUGUAGCGGUGAGAUGCGUAGAUAUGUGGAGGAACACCAAUGGCGAAGGCAGCUCUCUGGCCUGAUACUGACGCUGAGGUACGAAAGCGUGGGGAGCAAACAGGAUUAGAUACCCCGGUAGUC
rnacentral:rRNA from 1 species